UGGCUUGUAGCUUAAUUUCUUUGAUUC
rnacentral:piRNA from 2 species